rnacentral:ribozyme from 1 species
AAGAGUAAAGCAUUAACGAUCAACUCAAUAACCCAGAUAAGAAAUGCGUGAUUUUAAUUUCUCUCACGUUUUUUUCUUCUUCUAUUUUGUUGUCACUUACUUGGUUGAAUUUCGAAAUUAACCG